CUGGGAUGAUUGCAGGGUGUUGUCAGCAAGGAAUGCCUGGCUUGUAAAAGUGCCCAGCUGAGUGUGAGAGGCUUCUUUGCCGAGCUGCUUUCAGGCAGCCAAAUGGGCCCCAGCAGGGACUCUGUGCCUGCUGUCCCGUGGUUCCCAGGGAUCUCUGGGCCUUCACGCCGGCACCGAGGUGUUCUCGGGAAGGCCCUCAGAUCCCCGGAGCAGUGUGGGACACGGGCACGAUGCCCCUGCCUUUUGGGAGCAGAUUGGGCCCCCUGGAGGGACAGUGCUGUUGGUGCCCCCCGGGCUGGGGCACCCCGAGGACUCGAGCGCGCACCCAAAGGAUUCUUCGGGGAGCUCCUCUGGGUGCCCCAAGCUGGGGAGCUCCAAGCAAGGUCCCUGCAAUGGAUUGAGGCAUUCCUGAGAGUAUCAGAGGUGUAGCUGUCUGUCCUGGCCAUGGAGCUCUGGAAUGGGCUGUAAUUGGGUUCUAAAAGUGGUGCUCUGACUGCAAAAGAAGUGUGGGAUUGGGAUUAAGGAAUGAGUGGUGAUGGUACCAUUGGGUGUUUUGUGUUGAGUGGAAUUGUGAGAGCUGCAGGAGUGCAAGGUGUGGGUUCCAGACUCCAGCAUUUGCUUUGCACAUGUGCUAGUCAGACACAGGUCUAACUUUCUCAGUCCUUAACACAGCAGAGGGAGAAUUAGGGCUGGCUUAAUUAACCAAUCACUGUUAAGGUGAUGGGUGUGACAGGGGUUGAAGUGGGAAAACAUGAGGUGGUUCCUCAGUUUGUCUAUUUGCAAGCUCCCUUAAAUCUCUGCUAGGAAGAGAUUAAUUGGAAAAGUUGAGGCAGAAAUGAAGUUGGAACAUGGGGAGAUUGAAAUUGUAGUUGCUGAAACUAACUGUGUGAGAGCAGCAGCUCUUCUCGUGCAGGAAAUAACUCCUGUCAGCAGCACCGUCCCGACUGGAGUGGCAGAUGGAGUUGUUCCUGUGGUGUGGGCCAGUGGAAUUCCAGGAAAUGGACCAGGGCAGAACCUGUAACAAUUAUCUCUAAGCCAGAGUCUGUACUGGUAAGGCAAACACAGUAUCCUUUAAAAUUAGGAAACCAGUUUGGAUCAGUUCCUGUGACAGCCAAGUUUGGUAAUUGUGGUUUGCCUGUGGAAUGGGAAUGCGAGAACCUGUAAAGAAAGGAAAUGGGAAAGAAGAUUGUUUCCUGGGAGCAGGAGCUGCCAGACACUGACCCUGGAUGUUUGGUUGUGGUUGGGAACGACCUCCCCAUGGUUGUCUGUGCUGGGUGUGGGUUUGGGUCCUGUCUGGCCACAGGUCUGUGCAGCAGCUGGAGCCUGGGCAGGUUUGGGGGCUGUGGUGUUCCAGCCUCUGAAGUUUGUUGUCGCUGUUUCCUUUCAGUGGCCAAAUGUCCCUGCUUGGCUGUUUGUUGCGCUGCAGCCAGAAGAGCCCAGCCCUGCGAUGGCCCAGCAUUGGUGUGACCCACAGUGGGUGUCACCUGCCCUUGGGGCAGUGCCCAGAACUCCCUUUGCCAUCCCUGCUGCAGGGUGGGAGCUGCACAGAGCCAGCAGCGUCCAGCUGGAGGAUCCAGGAGGAUGCAGCUCUGCUUUUCUGGGAGGGACACUGAGCUGGUCCAGCUGUGGCAAGAAGAGCAAGUGGGCUGUGAAGGUUUGGGGCAGUCUGGAAGGUUCCUCGUGCCCAAAGCAUCCUGGCAAGUGCAGCCCUGGAAGAGUGAGGAAUGAUGAAAAGUGCCCCAGAUCUGGUGCAGCUCAGCUUUGUAAGACGUGUCUCAAGAGCAGACAAAAUCCUCCAGCAGUGAGCUUGGCAGAAAAGGCCCUGUGAAGCAAAGCAGCAUGAAACCCCAGAGCUGCUUGUGGAUGGUAGGUGAAACUUGGAGCCCUCCCAGGUUGUGAAAAGAGCCUUGGGGAUUGGCUUCUGGGAAGGGGGAUCCGUUUCCUGAUGGGAGUCCUUGAAAUAGAAGUGAGUGUCUGUGGGAAAUGAGGAGGCUGCAGGAGUGCUGGGGCUGGAGAGUGCACAGUGCUGGAAGUCCAAAUUGAAGUAGGAAAUGCUUGUGGAAAGCUUGGUGUUCCCAAGGGCAAGCUUUAGGGAGCAUGGACAAGGG